rnacentral:rRNA from 1 species
UAGCGCGAACCUGCGGAUAUGCAUAUCAAUAAGCGGAGGAAGAUUCUCCUAUCGGCGGGGGCCCAGCCGCUGGAACUUAACAAAACCUUUUUUGCAUCUAGCAUUACCUGUUCUGAUACAAACAAUCGUUACAACUUUCAACAAUGGAUCUCUUGGCUCUGGCAUCGAUGAAGAACGCAGCGAAAUGCGAUAAGUAGUGUGAAUUGCAGAAUUCAGUGAAUCAUCGAAUCUUUGAACGCACAUUGCGCCCCUUGGUAUUCCAUGGGGCAUGCCUGUUCGAGCGUCAUCUACACCCUCAAGCUCUGCUUGGUGUUGGGCGUCUGUCCCGCCUUCGCGCGCGGACUCGCCCCAAAUUCAUUGGCAGCGGUCCUUGCCUCCUCUCGCGCAGCACAAUUGCGUCUGCGGGGGGGCGUGGCCCGCGUCCACGAAGCAACAUUACCGUCUUUGACCUCGGAUCAGGUAGGGAUACCCGCUGAACUUAAGCAUAUC